CCAUUGUCUUGUUCUUGUGAGAAAGAAAGGAUAAUAGAUAAAUAUCUCAAAGGUUGCAGAGAAAAGAAGGUAGCAGACACAAAAAAAAAUUCUUUCUUACCAAACAGGUCAAGGUAGAAACAAAAGGAGGAAAGAGGGCCACAGGAGAAAAGUCAUCCAGACUCCACGCUUCCAUAGGUCACUGCCACUUUGCAGUGUCCAAAGCUCAUCCAGAAUUCGACAGAAAAAUGGCUACACAGCAACACCCACCACCGACUCCAAACCUCCUCAGGAGACCUUUAAUCAAGGUCUUCUUCGUUGCCAUUGUAUUCUGUGCCUGCUACUUUCUUGGCUCCUACAGCAAUCCCAGUUCGACACUCUCCACAAUUCAGGCCCACCCACAGCACUGUUUCCCCUCAAAUGCCUCAACUCCUAAACACCCUUCACCUUCACUGGUUCUAGACUUUGAAGCUCACCACAUUCUCCCUCUUCCCCAAGAAAGCUCACAAAGUGGGGGUUUCUUUGAAUUAUGCCCCAGCAAUUUCACACAUUACUGCCCAUGUCAAGACCCUUCAAGAGCGAAGGAGUUCAAUGUGACUAAGUUUUUCCAUAGGGAGAGGCAUUGCCCUGGGAGCCACCAGGCCUUGAGGUGCUUGGUGCCUAGGCCUAAAGGGUACAGGAGGCCAUUUCCGUGGCCAAAAAGUAGAGACUACGCAUGGUUCAACAACGUGCCUUUCCCAAAGUUGUCUGUGUACAAGAAAUCCCAGAAUUGGGUUCGAGUGGAAGGCGAUCGGCUUGUUUUUCCAGGCGGUGGGACUUCGUUUCCAAAGGGGGUGAAGGACUAUGUGGAUGAGAUUAGGCGGGUCGUGCCAUUGAAGUCUGGGAACAUAAGAACAGCUCUUGAUGUUGGAUGUGGGGUUGCAAGCUUUGGAGCCUCUCUAAUGGAUUAUAACAUCUUGACAAUGUCAAUUGCACCAAUGGAUAUACAUGAAGCUCAAGUACAGUUCGCCUUGGAAAGAGGACUUCCAGCCAUGCUUGGUAUUCUAAGCACCUACAGAUUACCAUACCCAUCAAGAUCUUUUGAUAUGGCACACUGCUCCAGAUGCCUUGUGCCAUGGACUGCUUACGAUGGAGUAUAUCUGAUGGAAAUUGACCGAGUUUUGCGUCCUGGUGGCUACUGGGUAGUGUCUGGGCCACCAAUAAGUUGGAAGUCUAGCUACAAGGGUUGGGAGAGAAAGGCUCAGGACUUGGAAAAGGAGCAAAUCAGUUUAGAAGAUCUUGCGAGGCGGCUAUGCUGGAAAAAGAUUGCAGAGAGGGGACCAAUUGCAGUAUGGAGAAAGCCCACUAAUCAUAUCCACUGCAUCCAAAAGUUGAAGGCUUGGAAGUCUCCUCAUUUCUGUGCUGAAACUGACCCUGAUGCGGGUUGGUAUAAGGAGAUGGAUCCAUGCAUUACUCCUCUUCCAAAAGUGACGGACAUCCGCAGUAUAUCUGGAGGUGCACUUGAAAGAUGGCCUAAAAUGUUGAAUACUGCUCCACCCAGGAUUAGAAAUGGGGUUACUAGAGGAGCCACUGUCAAUACCUUUAAUAAAGACAAUCAAAUAUGGAUAAAAAGAGUUUCAUACUACGGAAGUGUUCUCAAAUCUCUUGGUGCAGGUAAAUAUAGAAAUAUCAUGGAUAUGAAUGCAGGCCUAGGUGGUUUUGCAGCUGCAAUUUCUAAGCAACAAGUUUGGGUUAUGAAUGUUGUUCCUUUUGAUGCACAAAACAACACUCUUGGGAUUGUCUAUGAGCGUGGCCUCAUUGGAACUUACAUGAACUGGUGUGAGGCCUUCUCAACAUAUCCUCGAACAUAUGAUUUGAUACAUGCUCAUGGAGUCUUCAGCAUGUACAUGGGCAAAUGUGACAUUCUUGAUAUUCUCUUUGAGAUGUACCGAAUUCUUCGUCCUGAAGGGGCUGCUAUAAUCAGAGAUCACAUUGACAUCAUUGUGAAAGUAAAAGGCAUCACAGAUCGAAUGAGAUGGAAAAGCAAAAUUCUACACAGCGAGUAUGGACCUUUCCAUCCAGAGAAGAUACUCUUUGUAGACAACUCUGAAGCCUGAAUAGCUGUUGUCUCAAACAACAAUGGAGGAUCAGAUGGCAAUCUUCUUCCCAUUACAGGGCACAAACUGAAUGGGCACAACUAUCUCCAGUGGUCCCAAUAUCUCAUGAUGUCCAUCUGUGGAAAAGUGAAAGAUGAUCAUCUCACAGGGGCUGCAGUUCUUCCCAAGAAGGAAGAUCUGAAAUUUAAAUCAUGGAAGUCAGAGAAUAACAUGGUCAUUUCCUGGUUUAUCAACUCCAUGAUCAAUGAUAUAGAAGAAAACUUUCUGCUCUAUGGAACUGUGAAGGAAUAUGGGAUGCAACUAAAGAGACCUACUCCAGCAAUGAAAAUACAUUAAAAUUAUUUAAGUUGAAAGUAUUCUAUAUGAUCAUGUCCAUCGCUCAAUACUACAGCACACUCAUAUGUCACUGGCAACAGUUGGACAUAUUCAAAGAACAUGAUUGGAACUGCCCAAAAGAUGGAAUCAAGUACAUGAAGAUCAUCGAACAGAGAAGAAUAUUCAAGUUCGAGGGUGUUGGGAUCGAAGCCUCCACCAAAUAUCCGAGAAGAUUUCUCAGAAUCUGCAGAGAAGAGAGCCGAAAAAAGGUAAUGAUGGCAUCACAAAAUGUGACACCUACCAUAGAAAAUUCUGCCCUUGCUGCUCUAGGGAUUGAACACCAUAGCAAUGAAAAUUGACAAAAGAAAGGAAGAUCACGGUGUAAUCACUAUCGCAGACCUAGACACAUCAAAGAAACCUGCUACAAGAUUCAUGAUAAACCAGCAAAUUGAUGAGAACUCGACACCAUUCAAACCUAGUCUUUUCAGCAAAGAACAGCUAGAACUUCUGCAAAAAAUGUUCGGCCAGUCACAACAAGCUCAUGUCACUUCUAUGAUUGGAACCAGGGCCUUGGCACAGAAAGAACUUGGAUUUGGGAAAGACGAUUGGCAGUGCUGAGAUGUGUUUAGGGCUCAUCUCCUCAAAGUUGAUGAUUCGCUUGAAGAACAAGCUCACAAGGCAGAUUAUGUUGCAUCAAAAAGUUUGUUUCAUAAAAGUUCUUUUUCGGUUGAUAAUUCUAAUAAUGAUAGUGCAGUAGAAAUUUUAGAGUGUUUGUUCCCCUAAUUUCUUAUACCUUGAGAAACUUUUCUCUCCAUUAUUCAAUAAUACAAAGUCCAAAAUUUUUUCA